GACCUGCACCAAGGCCGCCAGCGCGAAGAAGGCGGCCAUGAGUCCGUUGCAGGCCCGCCACAGCGCUGGCGCCAUGGCUCGGAGAACACGGCGCGGGGCGGUGAGUCCUGCCACGUGCGGGGCGGUGUGGUCAGCUACUCCGGAAUGUGGCAGGGGUGGAGGCCGGACAAAGUCUGAAACAGGGUCAUCACCAUAGCACCUGACAUACCUGGAUAUAAACAAUAUCCAAGGAAGAGGAAGAGGCUCCAGAGCUGGCUCUCUCCUGGCCCACACAGAGGAAAGGCCAUGUGAGGACACAGGGAGAAGAGGGCAUUUAUAAGCCGGGAAGAGAGGCCUCACCGGCCACCAACCCUGAUGGAACCUUGAUCUUGGACUUACAGCCAGCAGAGCUAUGAGGAAAUCAAUGUUUAAGCAUCAUCCUAGUCUGUAGUGCUCUGGCAGCCUGAGCAGAAGAAUACUUACUCUGUGCUCCGUCCCACCCAGUCUCCACACUGCAGCCAGUGACUGUAUGAGACACAAAUCUCCAAUUUCUGCUUAAGA
rnacentral:lncRNA from 1 species